UGUUUUGCAGAUGUCUAAAAAGAAUAUCUUUCCACAUAAAUAUUUCCGUUUCCACAAUUAUAAUUAUAUUGAUCUUGCAUAAUAAUUUUUCCAUUGAGCAUUAUUUUAGCACUAGUUGGCGUAAAAUGAGCUACUUGGAGGAAUAUAAAAAUGGUGAUGUUGAAGCAAUACAACAUUUUGAAUAUUGCUCUUAAAUGACAUUGCUUAAUUUUCAAAAUUUAAAUUGAUUUUAUACUUUAUCAGAUGACAUGGGUAGUAACAUCAGAAGGAUUUAGAUCUAGGGUUGUUUGGGUUAUAAUUGUUUAAAAUACAUCUUUUUUGCUUUGUUGCAGAAACAAGCAGCAUGUCAGGAGAAGAUAGAACAGUUAAAUGCCUCAUCGAAAAAACACACAGAAGACAGAAUUAAUGAACUGGAAACUGAACUCUCUGAAAUGAGAUGUCAAGUAGAUUCUAGUAAAAUAGAAAGAGAACACUAUAAGCAACUCUAUCUAAAAGAAAUCAAAAUUAGAAAAUCAUUGUCAAAUAAACUAAGCAAGUAAGUCAGAGUCAAAUCAUUCCACAUAAACUAAUUAAUUUGUCUCUAACACAUAUUUUCAAUGAAACAGUUUCAGGAGAUUAAUGGUACCUAAUAGCUAACUAGAAAAUAUAGUUUUGUAACACAGUGUUAAUAAAUGAACAUGCCUUUAAUGUUUCAUCUGACAUAGUUGCAUUCCCCCCCCUUUUUUUCUUUCUGCAUAGCUUUUUUUUCCCCACUCAGUGUUUUAAGAUGCAUUUAAGAUGGUCUAUUAACAUGUCGCCUAAAGUAUUUUGAAGCUCUUAUUUCUUAAGACUACUAUAUUGUUAUCAAAUUUCUGGUCAGAAUUCUCUAAAACAAAAUUUGUAACAAGUUCAACUAUCUUUUAGAAGAAUGCAAUUUAAAUCCAAAAGUCAAAUACUAUUAUUCUUCCUUUGGGCAAUCUGUCAAUUGGUAAAUUAGCUUUCUUUCAGUAUAGUCUUUGCUCUUACCACUAGAGGGCACCUGAGAACCAGUGGUUUUAUUAUACAAUACAUAAAAGAUAGCUUGUGAUGUAGGAAAUGAUUAACACAGGUAUGAGAGUACAAUUUGCAUAAAGUAAGAAAUAAUUUCUCAGUGUGAGGAGAUAUAGAAGACAAAAAUGGUUUCCAUGUCUGAUACUCUGGUAACUAUGGUAAUUGCCUAAGGAGAUGCCUUUGUUGGUUUUAAACAAUUCUACAAUCUCAUAGUCACUAGCUGUUGCUACUCUGAAUUAUUUGCUUAAUGGUGCCCACAUAAUUUAUUGGUUGGUACAGAUGUUAUGUUUUUUAAUUUUGCCCUUAACAGGCUUACUAAAAUAUUUCUUGCUUAUUUCAGUCUUGUGUUUAAAGUGUAUCUAAAUAAAGGGGCACAAUGUGAGGUUUCAAUAUAUUUAUCCAUAGAAAAUGAUUAUUACAGUUAAGCAAGUUAACAUAUCUAUUAUCUCACAGGUAGCCUAUAAAUGUAAGUAUUUCUAAUUGCACCUAACAUAUUAGAAGAGAUACAUUCUGACAAAUUUUAAUUGUUAAGACACUGCUUAAUGGGAGGUUUAAUUUACUGUUAACAGCAAUUUCUUAAAAUAUAUAAGUCAUUUAAGACUCCUAUAGGAACAAUGACAUACCAGUUAUUUUCCUUUUUCAAUGUUUUCACAGAACUAAUGAGAAGCUAGUAGAGGCCAAGACCAAACUCCUCCUAGAGAAACAGCACUACAGAUUUUCCCAACCUAGCGCUGAACACACAGGACUUGUUCUAGAGUCCACUGUUGUUGGAAGUGCUAAUAAUGCAUUUUUAAUGCCAAGAACUUUUCCCAGACAUUUCCCAGAAAACUUAACAGUUCCAGACCUCAAGUCCACAGCCUCCAGUGGAGAUGGUGCAGCACCACAAGACCUGGUUUAGUUUCUGUUUCUCUAGGGUUUCAGAUUUCUGAUAUCAUUCUUGGUGAAUUACUGAAUCAUCUAGUUGACUUAUACAUGUUAAAGAAAGGUCAUAAUAAUAGGUUUUAAUAAAAUACAAUUAUUAAAACUUCAUACAGCUUUCAUUUCAAGAAAUACUCAUUUUUUAAUUUGAUUCAGCAACUGUAACCUAAAUAAUACACAUUACUUCUUUAAAAGCUCUGAGCAUAAGUACUUUUAACUGAAGAAUCAGCUUAAGACACUCUGGUUUAACUUCUGAAUGAAUUUGGUUUGAUUUGAAUGCCACAGAACUUUGACAUUUUCAUGCACAAUCCUAUUUUCCACCCUGAUCAUAAACAAAUGAUUAAUAUCCAAGCAUGCAACCUGAAAUGGAUGUUUGAAAAUUAAAAGAAUCUGAAAUUGAUAUGUUUUAUAAAUUAAACUUGUAACAAUAAAAGUAUUUCUGUUUUAAAUAUUAAAAUUUGUGACUUUCUAAAGUAAAAAUACAGAGUUCAUUGCUAAUUUACUUAUAUAAUCUUUAUUUCAAGUUUCAUAAAACAUAGUUUAUUGCUACCCUAAU